GACGGAGGGUGCGAGCGUUGUUCGGAUUGACUGGGCGUAAAGGGCGCGUAGGCGGCGCGGUAUGUCACCUGUGAAAUCUCCUGGCUCAACUGGGAGCUUGCAGGCGAAACUGCCGUGCUGGAGUGUGGGAGAGGUGCGUGGAAUUCCUGGUGUAGCGGUGAAAUGCGUAGAUAUCAGGAGGAACACCUGUGGCGAAAGCGGCGCACUGGACCACAACUGACGCUGAGGCGCGAAAGCUAGGGGAGCAAACAGG
rnacentral:rRNA from 1 species